UACAGAGGGUGCAAGCGUUAAUCGGAAUUACUGGGCGUAAAGCGUGCGUAGACGGUUAUAUAAGUCGGGUGUGAAAGCCCCGGGCUCAACCUGGGAAUUGCAUUCGAGACUGCGUAGCUAGGGUGCGGAAGAGGGAAGCGGAAUUUCCGGUGUAGCGGUGAAAUGCGCAGAUAUCAGGAGGAACACCGGUGGCGAAGGCGGCAUCCUGGACCGGCACUGACGCUGAGGAGCGAAAGCCAGGGGAGCAAACGGG
rnacentral:rRNA from 1 species